UUCAGUCAUCAGCGGGUGAACAGUAAAUAGAAAGGAUAAAGCAUCUCUGACACUGAAGAGUACCAUCCUAGCAGAUAGCAAAGCUACAGUAGAUAGAAAAAAAAAUUAGAGUGAAUGCUAUUGGUUUGUCUCGCAGAGUAGAGUCACGGGUUGAAGAUGCUCAAAACUUCUCUCUUUUUCUGAGUUUGAGGUUUGCUUUAGUCAGGCAUAUUUAUUGGACUAGGUAGGACCAGGACUAAAUAAUUCAAGGCUCAGUCAGUUGUUACAAACUCAAUAAUUCAAGGCUCAGUUUAUUAUGGCCAGUUCGCUUGGAUGGAGGGGUCAUGUCCACAGGGUCUCUUUUGUAUCUUCAUUUUCCGUGAGUGGAUGGCGCCACCGACGGGCUCUUCUUCCUCUUCUACCACUCCAUCAUCCAAAAAAGGACAAGCAAAACCCCCCAAAAGCCUGGGAAAAAUACCUAUCCUUUUUCUCAUUUCCACCAACACAAAACAGACAAUACCGUCUUCUCAUCCUCCAAUACAAAAACCAAAAAACACAAGAAAAAUCUGUACUUUUUACAUCAACCUGAGACUAAAAACACAGCCAGCUCCUCAUCCUCCAAAACCCAAAAAACAUAACCAAAACAUUGAAAGCUUCCUCCUUUCUACUCUUUACCAUCAAGCCCAAAAAUAAAACCUAGCAAAGGUCCCUCCUUUUUGCCAUUUACUCAACAACCACCAACAAGGAUGCCAAACAGAGGGUGGAAGAAGAAGAAGACAACCUCCACAAAAAGCAAAGCAAUGAGGAGAAAGCAAUAACAGAGAGCAGUGGGAAGAAGAUCAAGCAUAAAACCAAAGAACAGGCCAAGGAUGUGGUUGCAAUGGCCAUUGCCCUUUUUGUCAAUUCUUGAUUUUGAUUCAAAGAAGGGUGAAUGCAUUUUGCAUCCAAGGGUAUAGAGUCCCUCUGCCGAUAAUAGAAUUACAGUCUCCUGUGAUGCAGCAAUGAAGUCUCACCCAAAGGAUAUGGCUGCCACUGCCUUUGUUGGGAGGGACAAGCAUUGUAUUCCCCUAUUUGUUGGAGUGUACUGGGAUAUAAGUUCAAGAGAAAUCAAAACACUCAAUUGGAGGGAGAGUCCUUAAGGCUUUGGACAACUUAUUUAACUCAGAAAAAAUCCAUGACCGAUUUACGUGUAGAGACUGACCUGGACGGGCUCCCAAAUUUACUGAAGUCUGGAAAAAGAAAAAAAAUGUAGUUGCAAAUCUAAGUUGGAGCUUUUUAAAUGACUUUAAAGCAACAGUUGUAAGACCAAACAAGAUUUCUUUCGGACCCGUCCAAGGUUUGGUGAAUCUGGUGGCCCACCCCUUGUCACAAAUUGGAUGUUUCUACCAAUUUCUUGACAAGAGAGGUGAUCAUAAUGUAAAAGUUUGGGUGUUUAGGAAGGAUUUGAAGAGCAUAACUUCCUGCAAGAUCAAAGUUUUGAAGGACCUCACAAGUCAUGUGGAAGUGGAUAUUGUUGAGGACAUUGCUCCAAGAGAGCUGAAAGUGAUUUUAGUUCUAGACCUUUGCAAGCGGGCAUUUGAAUCCAAUCUAUGCAAUUGAGAAGAAAGUCUCUGAGGAUGUUAUGAAAAUAUCCAAACAAUAUCCACUUCCACAUAAUUGUUUAGGUAUUUUCAUAACUUCCUCAGGGACUUUCUUCUCAAUUACGUAGACUAGAUUCAAAUGCCGUUUGCAAAGGUCUAGAGCUAAAAUCACUUUUAGUUCUCUUGGAGCAGUGUGCUCAACAAUAUCCACUUCCACAUAACUUGUGAGGUACUUCAAAACUUUGAUCUUGCAGGGAGCUACGUUCUUCAAAUCCUUCCUAAACACCCAAACUUUUACAUUCUGAUCACCUCUCUUGUCAAGAAAUUGGUAGAAACAUCCAAUUUGUGACAAGUGGUGGGCCACCAGAUUCAUCGAACCUUGGACAGAACCAAAAGAAAUCUUAUUUGGUCUUACAACUGUUGCUUUAAAGUCACUUAAAAAGCUCCAACUUAGAUUUGCAGCUACAUCUUUUUUUCUUUUUCCAGACUUAAGUAAAUUUGGGAGCCUGUCCAGGUCAGUCUCUACACGCAAAUCAGUCAUGGAUUUUUUCUGAGUUAAAUAAGUUGUCCAAGGACUCUCCCUCCAAUUGAGUGUUUUGAUUCUAUUGAACUUAUAUCCCCAGUACACUCCAGCAAAUAGGGGAAUAUUGUCCCUCCCGACAAAGGCAAUGGUAGCCAUAUCCUUUAAUAUACAUUGUUGAGUGGGGUAGUUUUGAGCAUGAUUUUGUUGAAGAAGAGAAGGCAACUGAGCUGAAGCACCUACGAAACAAGAACAUGGAAAUAUAAUGUGGAAGGCAAAGAUGAUUUUGAUGAGCGGACUUAGCAAGAAUGCUCUGGAGGAGUUGUCGUUUGAAAAAAGUUCUGAUGAUUGCAUGCCCCACAUUUGCAAUAUCUCCGGUUUGCCUUGCUUAAAAAGGACCAGUCUUUCAUGACACUUGGUGGUCAAUGGAAUCCUGCUGAUGGUGUUGACCCAUCAGUUGAUGAUAACUCUUUAAUUCAAACAGUCCAUAGGUUUGUGCUGUCGGAAAUUUGUUGUAGAGGAUAUCUAGAAAUUAUGUUCUUCAAAUGACCUGAUGUUAUUUUUACUUUGUGGAUAUGCAAAAGAUGUCACUCAACUUGAUUUGCAGAACUGCCGUCAUUGGAAUUGUUUUCUUAAGGUGUUUGCAGAUACACUAUGACAGACUUGGCAAGGAUGGACUUUUAGCCAUUAGGAGGUCACUGUACUAUUUGUUCCAGAUUUUUCUGAAUGUCUCCCUUCUUUGGAUGCAUGGAGAGACCAAUGGGCAAUGGCUUGCUCACAAGAAGGCUGUUGCAGAGAGGGAGCGCCAACUUUCUGUGAAAAAAGAGAGGUCUAGUGAGAAGAAAGAUGGGCUGAAAGAUAAGGAAAAGGAUUCCUAAAAAGAUGUCAAAAGACUAGACAAAUCGGGAAAAAAAGAAAAGAGUCCACAUCCUCUGGACAAGCAGAAGAUUCUAACAAAAGGGAGAAAAAUGGAAAUGGUCUGAAAGGAAUUACUACAGCUGAAGAAAAGGGUGAUUGGAUGAGAAGGAUAAUGGACUGAAGAAUGUAAACUCAGAGAUACCUGAUCAACAGGAUAAAUCAGUUGCUCCCACUAAAACAUUUGUAAGAAAAAAGGUGGUAAAAAGGUUCAAGCAGGAAAAAUUGUUCAGAAUGAAGGUACUGAAGAUAAACCAAAGGAUAAUUCAGAUCCAAGCAGUGCUGCAGUUGUGGAAGGUACCAGUGUAAAAACGACUGUGGAGAGAAAAAUAAUUAAGAGGAUAGCCAAAAAAAGGUCUCUGGUUUGGAAUCCAGUGAUGGGUUUUCUGGAACUAAGAAGACACUGAUGGGGAUGAAAUAAAGGUAGUUCAGGCAGUGCAUGAAACCAAAAACACAGAGAGGCAAGCAGCAGAUGCUGAAAAUCUGGUCAGUGAGGUCAAAAGAUCUGAAAAGAAAACAGUUCCCAAGACCGUCUCCAAAACUGUUGCCACUAAGAAGCAAGGAGAUGGCAAUUCAAGCAAAACAGAGAUAAAGGCUGACAAGGAUGAUAAGGACGAUGAAAGAAAAAGUGGUGAGAAAAGUGGCGUGGUGUCUAAAGUGAAGACUGAUGCUGACAAGAAGAAAGUUCCUCAAAAUGAUGGCAAGAAGGGAAAAUUAAAAGAUGGGGAUAAAUCUAAAGAUGAGAAAGUGAGAAAAGACAAUGAUGGAAAAGAUGACUCUAGAAGCAAAUCAAAUAAAGAUUUGAAAGAAAAGAGAGCCUGAAGAACCUCCUCGGCACCCUGGAUUUAUUUUACAAACCAAAUGGAGCAAGGAAUCCGAACUUUGUUCAUUAUCACUUUCACUGGAUUCACUCCUGGAUUAUACUGAUAAGGACAUGCAAGAAUCAACAUUUGAGGUUUGCUGUGGACUAUGUCAAUAUGCAUAAUACUUGCUUCCUUUCUUGAGGCAUCCUCAUUUACUUGCUUAUUUUUUUGGGCGAGAGCAUGUGCAGAAACUACGUCUAAAAUUUGUGACAAAAACAUGAGAGGCAACGGGAUGAAAUUCAAGAAAAGGAAAGGGAUAAAAAAUCACCAGUGAAGCGAGCAAAGACUAGUGAUCUCCCUGUGAAAGAGCAAGAUAUCAAGUCUGAAACGUUGAACACAGCUCAACCAGAUGAAGAUAAAACCAAGGUCAAGGAGGAGGAUAAAACUGUUGAUCAUGUUGAUGAGGUGAAGAUAUGAGGUUGAAGAUAUGAGGUUGAUCAUCCACAACUUGGGGAAGUUCCUCUCACACAGGGAUGCGAAGGAACUUGUGCAAAGUGCAUUGUUAGAGAGCAACACCAGCAGGGAUGACCGCAUUCUUUACGAUAAGCUAGUGCGAAUGUCUGUUAUUUGAGAUUGGCAGGGUCUUCAUGUUUUCUUGAAAAUGAAUUUCAGUAUGACAUUGCCUUAUUAUGGCCCUAGAAAGGGGACAGAUUCUUACAGGGUUUUGGUUUGCAUUUGGAUUGUUCUCCGGUUGAUUUCUUUUAAUGCCUGUCAAAAAGUUUUCAAUACGCUAAGUGUUGUGCCAGUUGACCUACAUGGCUAUUGGCAAAUCAAAAUCAUUAUUUUGAAGAUAAGUCAUUUAUAAUUUUUUAGAUUA